GUUGGCUAAUCCUGGUCGGACAUCAGGAGGUUAGUGCAAUGGCAUAAGCCAGCUUGACUGCGAGCGUGACGGCGCGAGCAGGUGCGAAAGCAGGUCAUAGUGAUCCGGUGGUUCUGAAUGGAAGGGCCAUCGCUCAACGGAUAAAAGGUACUCCGGGGAUAACAGGCUGAUACCGCCCAAGAGUUCAUAUCGACGGCGGUGUUUGGCACCUCGAUGUCGGCUCAUCACAUCCUGGGGCUGAAGUAGGUCCCAAGGGUAUGGCUGUUCGCCAUUUAAAGUGGUACGCGAGCUGGGUUUAGAACGUCGUGAGACAGUUCGGUCCCUAUCUGCCGUGGGCGCUGGAGAACUGAGGGGGGCUGCU
rnacentral:rRNA from 1 species